GCAUAUCAAUAAGCGGAGGAAAAGAAACCAACAGGGAUUGCCCUAGUAACGGCGAGUGAAGCGGCAACAGCUCAAAUUUGAAAUCUGGCUCUUUUAGGGUCCGAGUUGUAAUUUGCAGAGGGCGCUUUGGCGUUGGCAGCGGUCCAAGUUCUUUGGAACAGGACGUCACAGAGGGUGAGAAUCCCGUACGUGGUCGCUAGCCUUCGCCGUGUAAAGCCCCUUCGACGAGUCGAGUUGUUUGGGAAUGCAGCUCUAAAUGGGAGGUAAAUUUCUUCUAAAGCUAAAUACUGGCCAGAGACCGAUAGCGCACAAGUAGAGUGAUCGAAAGAUGAAAAGCACUUUGGAAAGAGAGUCAAAUAGCACGUGAAAUUGUUGAAAGGGAAGCGCUUGCAGCCAGACUUGCCUGUAGUUGCUUAUCCGGACUUUUGUCCGGUGCACUCUUCUGCGGGCAGGCCAGCAUCAGUUUGGGCGGUUGGAUAAAGGUCUCUGUCAUGUACCUCCUUUCGGGGAGGCCUUAUAGGGGAGACGACAUGCAACCAGCCUGGACUGAGGUCCGCGCAUCUGCUAGGAUGCUGGCGUAAUGGCUGUAAGCGACCCGUCUUGAA
rnacentral:rRNA from 1 species